rnacentral:rRNA from 1 species
UGUUCGGGUUGUGUCGCCAGACGCAUUGCCCGGUAGCUAAGUUCGGGAUCGAUAACCGCUGAAAGCAUCUAAGCGGGAAGCGAGCCUUGAGAUGAGUUCUCCCUGAUACUUUAAGUAUCCUAAAGGGUUGUCGUAGACUACGACGUUGAUAGGCAGGGUGUGUAAGCGUUGUGAGGCGUUGAGCUAACCUGUACUAAUUGCCCGUGAGGCUUAACCAUACAACACCCAAGGGGUUU